CGACGAGUGGGUUGAGCUCACUCUGAGAGGUGCAGCCAAGAUGGCUAGUGGCGUGGGUUGAGUUCUCACCGACACGAGAACAUGGAGAAUCAAGCAUGGUAUCCACAAAAUGCCCACCAGGGAAACAACCAGGGUAACCAGGGAAACCAGGAAAUUACAAUAACCAUGCCCGGAACAACCAUGGCAACCAAAACGAGGCCAAAGAAGAUGAAAAGAAGAAAACAAGCCUCAGAGAUGUGAUACAAGAACGAGAUCAGCAGCUACGAGAAGCCCAAGGAAAUGAUUAGGCUGUGUUACUGGGCAAUGGACUUGAUCCUUAGAUGGAAGGGAUGUCACCUGUGGCAAGUCCUGAUAGCAGCCCAGGAGAAUGUUGAUCAAGGCCUCGCUAAGCAGAACCUACACUCAAUGGCUGACCUGCUAACAGUGGAAAGCAUUUCUCCCAUUUAAAUAGAGAUGAACCUGGCGAAAAGUUGUUCAGUGGUUAAGAUGCUGGCAGAUACCUGGAAGAUCUUCAGCCACCCAAGAUGAACAACAAGAGAGUAAGAGCAAAUCAUUCCCAAGGCUUCUAUAUGUGAAAGAAAAGAGAAGAUUCCCCAAUUUUGAAUUGCUCAUGGUAUGGUGCAGAGUUGGAGAUACCCAACUUAAGGACUCAUCAUUGAGACUGGCGGUCUGGCGAGCCAUGGCAGUGCGCCGACUUUGAGUGCAAAUGUUUGGCACAUCAAGCCGAAUCACCAGCAAGCCGCACACCAACAUUCAAAUGUUUUUUUCCACGCCCAUAGGCAUGACCUGUUGUGAAGGGGUUAUGUGCAUGCAUGGUUUUCGCAGAAAGUUUUUUUUUUAUUCUUUUUAUUUUUUUAUAUUUUUUUUUAAUUUGAUAUUUGUACUAGUAUCAUAUUAUGUAGUGAUUGUUAUUAGGGUAUUGCUAUUUUGGUAUUGGUAAUGCAACAAAAUGAAAAAGUGUGAUUAAUACAAAAUUUUUAAAAAUUACCCAUUUAAAUGGGAGAAAUGCUUUCCACUGUUAGCAGGUCAGCCAUUGAGUGUUCUGCUUAGCGAGGCCUUUAUCAAUAUUCUCCUGGGCUGCUAUCAGGACUUGCCACAGGUGACAUCCCUUCCAUCUAAGGAUCAAGUCCCU